UCCCUUGCGGGAGGACAGGGUGACAGGUGGUGCAUGGUUGUCGUCAGCUCGUGUCGUGAGAUGUUGGGUUAAGUCCCGCAACGAGCGCAACCCUCGCCCCUAGUUGCCAGCAUUCAGUUGGGCACUCUAGGGGGACUGCCGGCUAAAAGUCGGAGGAAGGUGGGGAUGACGUCAAAUCAUCAUGCCCCUUAUGACCUGGGCUACACACGUGCUACAAUGGGCGGUACAAAGGGCUGCGAACCCGCGAGGGGGAGCGAAUCCCAAAAAGCCGCUCUCAGUUCGGAUUGCAGGCUGCAACUCGCCUGCAUGAAGCCGGAAUCGCUAGUAAUCGCGGAUCAGCAUGCCGCGGUGAAUACGUUCCCGGGCCUUGUACACACCGCCCGUCACACCACGAGAGCUUGCAACACCCGAAGUCGGUGAGGUAACCCGCAAGGGAGCCAGCCGCCGAAGGUGGGGCAAGUGAUUGGGGUGAAGUCGUAACAAGGUAGCCGUACCGGAAGGUGCGGCUGGAUCACCUCCU
rnacentral:rRNA from 1 species